rnacentral:SRP_RNA from 2 species
GCUGGGCAUGGUGGUGCGCGCCUGUAAUCCCAGCUACUUGGGAGGCUGAGGCAGGAGAAUCACUUGAACCCAGGAGGCUGAGGUUGCAGUGAGCCGAGAUCAUGCCACUGCACUCCAGCCUGGGUGAUAGAGCGAGACUCUGUCUUAA